GCGAAACCUUUACACUGCACGAAAGUGCGAUAGGGGAAUCCCAAGUGCGAGGGCAUAUUCGCCCUCGCUUUUGUUGACCGUAAGGUGGUCAACGAAUAAGAGCUGGGCAAGACCGGUGCCAGCCGCCGCGGUAAUACCGGCAGCUCGAGUGAUGUCCAAUAUUAUUGGGCCUAAAGCGUCCGUAGCUGGCCGCGCAAGUCCGUCGGGAAAUCCACCUGCCCAACAGGUGGGCGUCCGGCGGAAACUGUGUGGCUUGGAACCGGAAGGCUCAGAGGGUACGUCCGGGGUAGGAGUGAAAUCCCGUAAUCCCGGACGGACCACCGAUGGCGAAAGCACUCUGAGAAGACGGCUUCGACAGUGAGGGACGAAAGCUAGGGUCUCAAACCGGAUUAGAUACCCGGGUAGUCCUAGCUGUAAACGAUGCUCGUUAGGUGUGGCACCCAGUACGAGUGGGUGCUGUGCCGCAGGGAAGCCCCUAAACGAGCCGCCUGGGAAGUACGUCCGCAAGGAUGAAACUUAAAGGAAUUGGCGGGGGAGCACUACAACCGGAGGAGCCUGCGGUUUUAAUUGGAAUCA
rnacentral:rRNA from 1 species